rnacentral:rRNA from 1 species
UACGUAGGGUGCGAGCGUUAAUCGGAAUUACUGGGCGUAGAGCGUGCGCAGGCGGCGCGUUAAGACAGGUGUGAAAGCCCCGAGCUUAACUUGGGAAUUGCGCUUGUGACUGGCGAGCUGGAGUGUGGCAGAGGGAGGUGGAAUUCCACGUGUAGCAGUGAAAUGCGUAGAGAUGUGGAGGAACACCGAUGGCGAAGGCAGCCUCCUGGGCCAGCACUGACGCUCAUGCACGAAAGCGUGGGGAGCAAACAGG